rnacentral:rRNA from 1 species
UACAGGGGGUGCAAACGUUGCUCGGAAUCAUUGGGCGUAAAGCGCACGUAGGCGGUUCGUUAUGUCGGAUGUGAAAGCCCUUGGCUUAACCGAGGAAGUGCAUCCGAAACUGGCGAGCUAGAGUACGAAAGAGGAUCGCGGAAUUCCCGGUGUAGAGGUGAAAUUCGUAGAUAUUGGGAAGAACACCGGUGGCGAAGGCGGCUCUCUGGACCGAGACUGACGCUGAGGCGCGAAAGCGUGGGGAGCAAACAGG